rnacentral:ncRNA from 2 species
GCGGGUUAUCAAGUCAACGGUCCCGUGCGAACGGGUGAAAAGGGAAUGCUGUGCAACUCCGGCUGGGGAAGUCGCCCCGGGGGUUCAGUCAGCAACUGUCCCCGCAACUGUAGGCGGCGAAUGUUACAGCCAUGCUACCAUCUGGUGGCAGCCACUGACUUCGGUUGGGAAGGCGGAUGUGACGUGAUGACCCGUAAGUCAGGAGACCUGCCGUUGAGUUCAGAUUGUC